rnacentral:rRNA from 1 species
CUACGGGCGGCUGCAGUGAGGAAUAUUGCGCAAUGGAGGCAACUCUGACGCAGCCAUGCCGCGUGCAGGAAGAAGGCGCUACGCGUUGUAAACUGCUUUUAACCGGGAAGAAACCCCAGGACGUGUCCUGGGUUGACGGUACCGGAGGAAUAAGCACCGGCUAACUUCGUGCCAGCAGCCGCGGUAAUACGAAGGGUGCAAGCGUUAUCCGGAUUCAUUGGGUUUAAAGGGUGCGUAGGCGGGGCGAUAAGUCAGUGGUGAAAUCCUGCAGCUCAACUGUAGAAUUGCCAUUGAUACUGUCGUUCUUGAGUACGCUCGACGUGGGCGGAAUGUGCCGUGUAGCGGUGAAAUGCUUAGAUAUGGCACAGAACACCGAUAGUGAAGACAGCUCACGAGGGCGAAACUGACGCUGAGGCACGAAAGCGUGGGGAUCGAACAGGAUUAGAUACCCUAGUAGUC